UACAGAGGUCUCAAGCGUUGUUCGGAUUCAUUGGGCGUAAAGGGUGCGUAGGCGGCGCGGUAAGUCGGGUGUGAAAUCUCGGGGCUCAACCCCGAGCGGUCGUGGGAAACUGGUUGGCUAGAGUGCGGGAGAGGAGAGUGGAAUUCCUGGUGUAGCGGUGAAAUGCGCAGAUAUCAGGAAGAACACCCGUGGCGAAGGCGGCUCUCUGGAACGCAACUGACGCUGAGACGCGAAAGCGUGGGGAGCAAACAGG
rnacentral:rRNA from 1 species